CAAGUGAGGCUGUCGAACACCGGUAAAACGGUAGUUAGGCGGCUAACACCCACCCGUGUUUACAUACUAUUGUUGCUUUGGCGGGCCAGUGGCCUCCACUGCGGGCUCUGCUCGCGUGUGCCCGCCAGAGGACCAAACUCUGAAUGUUAGUGAUGUCUGAGUACUAUCUAAUAGUUA
rnacentral:misc_RNA from 1 species